rnacentral:rRNA from 1 species
CCCUGCCCUUUGUACACACCGCCCGUCGCUACUACCGAUUGAAUGAUUUAGUGAGGUCUUCGGACUGGUCCUCGGAGCUCCGCUCGCGGGGCUCCGCUGGGCCGGAAAGAUGACCAAACUUGAUCAUU